rnacentral:rRNA from 1 species
CGGAGCAAUUCGUGCGAGUGGCGGACGGGUGAGUAACACGUGGGUACCUACCCCAAGGUGAGGAAUACCGGCGAGAAAUCGCCGACAAUACCGCAUACGUUUGCUAAGCAAACAAAGCUCGCAAGGGCGCCAUGGGAAGGGCCUGCGGCCGAUUAGCUAGUUGGUGAGGUAACAGCUUACCAAGGCGACGAUCGGUAGCUGGUCUGAGAGGACGAUCAGCCACACUGGGAUUGAGAACGGCCCAGACUCCUACGGGGGGCAGCAGUGAGGAAUUUUCGUCAAUGGGGGCAACCCUGAACGAGCAACGCCGCGUGCAGGAUGAAGGUUUUCGGA